AGCUCCGCCCCCUAUAGUGAUAUAGAGGUGUAUGCCUGGAGCUCCACCCCCUAUAGUGAUAUAUGGACGGUAUAUAGAGGUGUAUGCCUGGAGCUCCGCCCCCCUGUAGUGAUAUAUGGACGGUAUAUAGAGGUGUAUGCCUGGAGCUCCGCCCCCUGUAGUGAUAUAUGGACGGUAUAUAGAGGUGUAUGCCUGGAGCUCCGCCCCCUGUAGUGAUAUAUGGACGGUAUAUAGAGGUGUAUGCCUGGAGCUCCGCCCCCUGUAGUGAUAUAUGGACGGUAUAUAGAGGUGUAUGCCUGGAGCUCCGCCCCCUGUAGUGAUAUAUGGACAGUAUAUAGAGGUGUAUGCCUGGAGCUCCGCCCCCUGUAGUGAUAUAUGGACGGUAUAUAGAGGUGUAUGCCUGGAGCUCCGCCCCCUGUAGUGAUGUAUGGACGGUAUAUAGAGGUGUAUGCCUGGAGCUCCGCCCCCUGUAGUGAUAUAUGGACGGUAUAUAGAGGUGUAUGCCUGGAGCUCCGCCCCCUGUGGUGAUAUAUGGACGGUAUAUAGAGGUGUAUGCCUGGAGCUCCGCCCCCUGUAGUGAUAUAUGGACGGUAUAUAGAGGUGUAUGCCUGGAGCUCCGCCCCCUGUAGUGAUAUAUGGACGGUAUAUAGAGGUGUAUGCCUGGAGCUCCGCCCCCUGUAGUGAUAUAUGGACGGUAUAUAGAGGUGUAUGCCUGGAGCUCCGCCCCCUGUGGUGAUAUAUGGACGGUAUAUAGAGGUGUAUGCCUGGAGCUCCGCCCCCUGUGGUGAAAUGUAUAGGCUUAGUGCUCCACCAUGUACUGAAUCUCACUU